rnacentral:rRNA from 1 species
GAUGAACGCUGGCGGCGUACCUAAUACAUGCAAGUCGAGCGAACAGAUGAGGAGCUUGCUCCUCUGACGUUAGCGGCGGACGGGUGAGUAACACGUGGAUAACCUACCUAUAAGACUGGGAUAACUUCGGGAAACCGGAGCUAAUACCGGAUAAUAUAUUGAACCGCAUGGUUCAAUAGUGAAAGACGGUUUUGCUGUCACUUAUAGAUGGAUCCGCGCCGCAUUAGCUAGUUGGUAAGGUAACGGCUUACCAAGGCAACGAUGCGUAGCCGACCUGAGAGGGUGAUCGGCCACACUGGAACUGAGACACGGUCCAGACUCCUACGGGAGGCAGCAGUAGGGAAUCUUCCGCAAUGGGCGAAAGCCUGACGGAGCAACGCCGCGUGAGUGAUGAAGGUCUUCGGAUCGUAAAACUCUGUUAUUAGGGAAGAACAAAUGUGUAAGUAACUAUGCACGUCUUGACGGUACCUAAUCAGGAAGCCACGGCUAACUACGUG